GAUGAAGAACGCAGCGAAAUGCGAUAAGUAAUGUGAAUUGCAGAAUUCAGUGAAUCAUCGAAUCUUUGAACGCACCUUGCGCCCUUUGGCCAUUCCGAAGGGCAUGCCUGUUUGAGUAUCAUGAACACCUCAACUCUCAUGGCUUGCCAUGAUGAGCUUGGACUUUGGGGGUCUUGCUGGCCUGUGGUCGGCUCCUCUCAAAUGAAUCAGCUUGCCAGUGUUUGGUGGCAUCACAAGUGUGAUAACUAUCUGCGCUCGUGGUUUCCAUCAGAUAACCUCCAGUGAUGGAGGUUCGCUGGAGCUCAUAAAUGUCUCUCCUAAGCGAGGACAGCUCUUUUAAUGUUUGAUCUCAAAUCAGGUAGGACUACCCGCUGAACUUAAGCAUAUCAAAAGCGGAGGA
rnacentral:misc_RNA from 1 species